CAAAACCGAAAAUAAAAACCGCGAAAAAUGUUCCUGUUUCAAAAAUUUUUGCGACAAAAGACAGCAUAAAGGUGCCAGUCUGCUGACCAUAUACACUGAGCCCAAACAUCAUCCUCUAAGCGUAGGAUUUGUCAUCCUCCCAGUCUUCUUUAUACAUCAUCUGGAUUCCAUAUUACGAAAACGAUAGAAUGCCUAACCGUCAAUCUAUCAAAAGAAAAUAAUCCCAGAUGCGGAUGAUUGUCUUUUGAUUUACGCGUGGUUGUUCAUUUCAUGCCUGAAACGGUGAGACUGCAACUGAGGUUCAUCCUAUAUGUGGAUGAAUUGUUUAUAGUGCACGCCCCUUAACGAAAGUCAUUCGGAAAGAAAAUGUUGAUGCUUCUGUUGUUGCCGCCAGUAUCUCGAAAUUAUUUGUUUUCAAUCGGUAACGGUCGCGGGUGGAAAAAAUAUACUGUUAAUGAGAAUUUAAAAUUAAAACGUAGUUCGAGGUUUUGCUGGCGUAAUCUGGCCAGGUUUUAUCUGAAGCUGGAAUACGUCAAAUGAAUGAUACAAAAGUUGCGUAUUAUUUGAUCCGAUUACGUCCAAAACCAGCAAAUGAUGUUGAUCCAGAAGCAACACAGCGGAAAAGCGACGGAAGCUGCACCUUUCGUUUCGGAGUUUAAUAGAUUGCCACGUGCCAUCCGGAUGAUUGGGAAUCCGGGAACUGACCAUUGUUUGCUGCCAUUCUGACGAAGAGCAAUUAUCUUAAGUGAUGUUCCAUGCUGUCUUCCGGUAGCGAAAAUCAUAUUAAACUCUCAUUUCUACAGUGUUAUAAUUUGUGAUCAUGAUUGACGUUUUUGUUAAUUUGUAGUUGGCGCGAUU